GGUGUCUGUGGAUGUUGACGGGAUGGGAGAGGGAGGCAGGGAUGAGGGCAAGAUUAAAUGCACCAGUAGUGCUGUGUAGUGAUUGUAUUUGCUUGACUUUAUUAGUUUGCAGAGGAAUCAUCCAGGAGCCCUCGCCGGACGAGAAUAUGCAGAAGUGGACGUGAGCAGCCUGGGCAUCCUUCUGAGGAGACCUCAACAGUCUUCAGGGUCUGCCUUCUGCCUAACUGGCUGUGAGUAAGCGGUUCGGUGUGUCUGACCAGAGUCAUCUGUGCAGAGUGACUAUUUCAGUACCAAGGGAAAAGAAGUGACAAGUCAGAGUCUACUGCCCUCAUGCGAUGGAAAGUGAAUGAGAGUGAUGGGACUGCGAGAAUUAUUGAUGCCUUGAAAAAGCCGCCCAACUGGGAAUGGAACAGUCAUCACUGUCAAUGACAUAAGUGUCUGUUUUGGUGAUUGCUCUGCUCACGGCCCACCUUGCUCCUGAAAGGGAUGCCCCGUUUGCUGAGGCUGUGUUUGUAAGAAAAGGUUCCUGACUAGCUGUGGUUUUGAGAGAGAGAAGGUCCCUAUUUUUAGGGGCUGCUCAGUUAUCUCGUCAGGAGCAGUGUGUCCUACGCAGCAGAAUGUUGCAUCUAGGAGAAUGAGUCCAGGUGGUGAAUUGCUUGCCUUCCUCUCGUGUUUCUCUC